CCCCCCCACAUAGGGUCAGCGUAUCCGGAAUUUAGGGCGUAAGGGCGCGUAGGCGGCUUUUUUUGUCAAUGUGAAAUNCCCUCNGCUUAACCGAUGGAUUGCNAUUCGAUACUGAAAGACUUGCAGUAUGGGAGAGGGAANCUAGAAUUCCUGGUGUAGCGGUGAAAUGCGUAGAUAUCAGGAGGAACUACCGGAUGGCGAAGGCGAGCGUUCACUGGNCCAAUUACUGACGCUGAGUGCGACGAAGAGGCGGUGGGGAGCAAAACAGGAAUUAGAAUACCCCUUGGGUNAGUCCACGCCCAGGUUAAAACUGAUGGAGACUACUAAGACAGUAUGCGGGGNUAUUGANCCCCNCGAUGAUNCCGCAAAUCUUUACCGGCAUUAAGUGUAUCCCGCUGGGGGAAAUUACGGGCCGAGGAUUAAACUCAACA
rnacentral:rRNA from 1 species